UACGUAGGUGGCAAGCGUUGUCCGGAAUCACUGGGCGUAAAGGGCGCGUAGGCGGCCUGGCAAGUCGAUGGUGAAAGCCCGAGGCUCAACUUCGGGUCGGCCACUGAUACUGCUAGGCUUGAGUCGACUAGAGGCAGAUGGAAUUCCGGGUGUAGCGGUGGAAUGCGUAGAGAUCCGGAAGAACACCGGUGGCGAAGGCGGUCUGCUGGGGUCGAACUGACGCUGAGGCGCGACAGCGUGGGGAGCGAACAGG
rnacentral:rRNA from 1 species